rnacentral:rRNA from 1 species
UGGGGAAUCUUCCGCAAUGGACGAAAGUCUGACGGAGCAACGCCGCGUGAACGAUGACGGCCUUCGGGUUGUAAAGUUCUGUUAUACGGGACGAAUGGUACGACGGCCAAUACCCGUCGUAAGUGACGGUACCGUAAGAGAAAGCCACGGCUAACUACGUGCCAGCAGCCGCGGUAAUACGUAGGUGGCAAGCGUUGUCCGGAAUUAUUGGGCGUAAAGGGCGCGCAGGCGGCGUCGUAAGUCGGUCUUAAAAGUGCGGGGCUUAACCCCGUGAGGGGACCGAAACUGCGAUGCUAGAGUAUCGGAGAGGAAAGCGGAAUUCCUAGUGUAGCGGUGAAAUGCGUAGAUAUUAGGAGGAACACCAGUGGCGAAAGCGGCUUUCUGG